rnacentral:rRNA from 1 species
AAAUCAUUUUUACUUGUUUUAGUAGGGGAGACAGAAUAGAACAGGGUAAUGCGGCGAUAGAUAAUGAAUGGUAACGUGAGUGGCAGUUAAAAACAGGAAGAAAACAGUAAUGAGUGUUCGUACCUUUUGCAUCAUGGUUUUACAACUUUUUAUGCUAAGGGGGUGUCCCGAAAGCUUGGUGAUCUACCCUUUUACAGUUGGGUUAACGUUUUAUGGUUAUCCAAAGAUAGGGGGAUAGUGGCGAAAUACUUUUCGCAUUGGCUGAUAGCUGGUUAUUUUGGAAAUAUAUUCUACGUAUAGCCCUUUUUGGGACAGGUUCUACAUUUAUAGUUGUUUCUGUUUUCUAAAAGGAGAUGGCUCUUUCAGGAUCAGCUGGGAGGGCGCUUAAAAAGGAUGGUUGGUGGAGUGUUGGGUUAGUAAGUGGGCUUGAAGAAGUUAUCUUUAGGGAGUGGGUUAUACCUCAAUCAGGCUCUUGAUGUAAAUAAUAAUAAAUUUUUCUUUAGGUUGUACAGAAUUUUCCUACGAAACUGCGGUAGUAGGAGUGAUAGUGUAAAUAUGAGUAGUCGAGAUGGUUGUUUUUGUUUUCUUGUUCUAGAAGAAAAGCUAGUAAGGGGGUGAUGAUUGGUAAACAAAGCUAAAGGAACUCGGCAAAAUAGGAGACCGCCUGUUUAUCAAAAACAUGGCUUUCUGAAAAGCAUAGGGAGUCGUGCCUUCCCAGUGGGCAUACGAGCCUAAACGGACGCGGUAAAUCGUGCUAAGGUAGCUAAGUUAUGGCCUAUUAAUUGUAGGUCUUGUGAAUGGUUUGACGAGCCUCCAACUGUCUCUAGGUUGUUUUGGUGAACUUGAGUUGAAUGUGUAAAUGCCUUCGUGGGUAAGAAAGACGAGAAGACCCCGUGAAGUUAAAAAUUUUAGCGUAUGGAGUGUUAUUCCCUGUUGGUGAAGGCUAGAGGGUUAAGGGAUUUGGUUGGUUUCUAAGUGAGGGGGUGUAGUGAAUGGUUUUUGCUGGGGCAGCAAAAGGGCAAAUUUAGACCUUAAUUGUAUUUAAAACGGGUGCGUUACGACCCAUAAUUAAAAAGGUGUGAUUAGCAGAAGGAGUUACUCCGGGGAUAACAGCGUUAUUCGUCCUGAGAGUUCUUAUUGGUGGACGGGUUUGCGACCUCGAUGUUGGCUCUGGAUAUCCUGGGGCUUGCAGGCGGUCCCAAGGGUUGGUUCGUUCGCCCAUUAAAAUCCGACGUGAGCUGAGUUCAGAUCGGCGAAAGUUAGGUCGGUUUCUAUCUUCUUUCUACUGAGUGGGGUCUUUGGGUACGAAAGGACAUUUGAUCUUAGGUUUUGGUCUGUUUUAAUGAAUGAAAAUAAUGAUCGUGUAAGGGGUGAGGGUUAUUUGUUU